CAGUCCCACCCCCAAGGCCUGCCCUAAGAGUCUGAGACAGGAGAACACACGUCUACAGAGAGCCUGCCUAGAGUCUGGAUUUUUUAAGCUGCUGGAUACCAGGUGCUACCUGACACCAGCUCAUCCCCUGCCUCUAGAGUCCUGGAGGGCUUUGAGUUGAUCACUUUCCACUCCAGGAAUGUUAUAAGAAACCGCUCAGAAAGGUGAUUGCAAAUCUAUGGAUGAGACCAAGGGAGAAUUUUCACGCCAUCAUAGCAUUUUAUUCCUCACCUGACUGGGAGCAGCUCGAAGGGAAGGACAUGUCUCCAAAGACAUGAGGAGUAUUCAACGUGGCAUUCGAGGCGCAAGGAAAAACCUGCCUAUCCCAAGAUCUCAGCCCCAUCAGCCAGCCAAGGGAUCCACAAUGACCCUUAUGAAGUUUCAUAAGGAAGCUAAUUGCUUAAAUGAGAUUUGAGUCAAGAAGGAUGACCUAGCAAUAACCUCUAUAUAUCUCAUUAUGCCAAAACUUAAAUGGCUACAUAAGAGGACAGUCCAGUGACAGACAUGGAAAGAGGCUUAGAGGUCAUCUCAUUCAUCACACCAUUUUACAGAGGAAAGCAAAAUGCCAUCCAGAGAAGGAAAGUCACAAAGCCAUCUAACCCCAGACCUGGGAGUAGCAGCUGAUCACAGCGGGUCGGACACAAGAAGCUGCUUCCAAAAAUCUUUCCUUCCAUUUGUCCUACAGAGAAGACAUCAGAAAACAAAAUUUUAUAAGCAUGUCUCUAGCUCUAACUCACUAUUCAACUAAAGGACAAAUUAAAUAGGGAAUGAGAUAACCUUAACUUCAUGAGAUUUGUUCUUAUAUGCAGUUUUCUACCCUGAGAAACCAAUCUAUGCUAAAGAUAAUAUUUGUGCUUUUCAAUGAGGCUGGUAAAAUAUUUGCACUUUGAAGCUCAGAGCGAUAACAUUUAUUCAUUCGGGUGAAACUUAUCAGGAUUAGGUAAAUAUAAUCGAAGCAAAACAAAAAUGAUUUGGGAAACUUUGUGACCAAAACCAACAGGCGUAUUCAGUACUCCUUUGAAGGUCACCUAAUUCUAAUAACAUUUAUAUUUAUAAAUGUCCUCUAAGUCUUUUAUCUUCUGCAAAUAAAUUAUUUCUCACAAUUA